CAACUCCCGGCCGAUCUCUCA
rnacentral:miRNA from 1 species